GGCACGUGCCCCGCAGGGCGCCCGGGUCUCUGAGUGGCGCGGUUGCGGCCCACCGGGACUUUGGUCAGGGACCCCCUGGUGCCUGAGCCCAGAGCAGAUCAGAGCAACCCCGCGGCCCUGGUGUGGUCGGCGACCAGAAUGCAACAAUCCCCGCGUCCGGCUACACUGGGCAUUAGAGGAAGGGUGCACGCGGAGAAAACCCUGCACAGAUCCCGAUGUUCCCUACGGCUGUCCACUCCUCCUCUUUUCUGCCCGGCUACUCCGGAGCUGAUGCCUUCACAGUCAAGACGCCGAGCCAUAACACCCAUCUUAUUUUCAGCACCUUUC
rnacentral:lncRNA from 1 species